ensembl:snRNA U6 U6 spliceosomal RNA
UCCUGACUUCAUCAGCACAUAUAUAAGUUUGGAACUAUACAGAGAAGAUUAGCAUGGCCCCUGUGCAAAUUCAUGAAGCAUUUUGUAUUUGAAAAAAAGAAUAUGGGU